ensembl:snoRNA
GUACUGCCUUUGAGCCCCCACAGGUGUGGCACCACGGGUCAGGCUGCAGCACCAGGGCACAUGCUUCUGCAUAACUGCAGCCGCCUGGUCCUCUGCUGGCGGCCCUUUUAACCACAAGCGACACAG